AAAGACGGUCGCUCAACGAUUGCAGUGCCAUUGAAACUAGUAGACUUGAGUAAAGUAGAGGUGGGCGGAAUUGAUAGUGUAGCGGUGAAAUGCAUAGAUAUUAUCAAGAACUCCAAUUGCGUAGGCAGCUCACUUGGCUUUUACUGACACUCAUGCACGAUAUCAAACAGGAUUAGAUACCCUGGUAGUCCACACUGUAAACGAUGAUAACUAGGUGUCGGCCGAAUAUGGUCGGUGCCACAGCGAAASSSUUAAGUUAUCCACCUGGGGAGUACGCCGGCAACGUGAAACUCAAAGGAAUUGACGNGGGUCCCGCACAAGSSSUGGAGCAUGUGGUUUAAUUCGAUGAUACGCGAGGAACCUU
rnacentral:rRNA from 1 species